rnacentral:lncRNA from 1 species
UAUGAGACAUAUUUGGCAAUUGGAUGAGUGGUGCAACUUCGAACCCCCUUUCUUUCUGCAAUUGAUUUAUUAGAAUCAUCAACACUUGGAACCAUGAACUCAACCGAGGCAAGACUAUCCAUACCUGUGUUGUCUUCACAAGAGCUUAGAUUUGGUUCAGUUUCUUGGACAUGUGGCUGAGUUCCGUGCUCUAUCUGCUCUCCAGUUCUUCUCCUCCUAUAAACAUUGAGAUUAUCAACAGCAAGUUGUGGAAGAGGUGAGAUUAGAGGCUGUAGUAGAUGAGCUGAUGGAUGACGGGGUGACUCGGCUGAUUGUGGUUGGGAGGACUCAGAUGACUCAAAAGGCUGUGAAGAUGUUGGGAGGAUUGCUGAUUGUGGCUGUUGGAUAGAUUGAUCAUGUGUGGUGGUUGAGUUAUGAGGGUUUUCAUGAGGGGUUUCCAGCCAAGAUUGCCAAGAAGAUUCCCAAGGCUGAUGUUCGCUCGUACUCUCUCCCUGAACAGCAGUUUUGGAAUAGAAAGGCAGGUUUUCAACAAAUGUUACAUCUCUGGAAAUGUAUAUUUUUCUGGUGUGAGGAGAAUAGCAUUUGUAUCCUUAACAAAUGUUACAUCUCUAAUAGAAAGGCAGGUUUUCAACAAAUGUUACAUCUCUGGAAAUGUAUAUUUUUCUGGUGUGAGGAGAAUAGCAUUUGUAUCCUUUUUUAUGUGGAGAAUAGCCUAAAAAUAUACACUUGAGAGAUCGGGAAUCAAGUUUAGUCCUGUGUUGAGAGUGAACAUGGACAUAUGCUGUGCAACCGAAUAUUUUUUGUGGUAAAUCUGCUGAAACAAUCCUAGUGUGUGGAAAGAAAUUGAGAAGAACUUUUCUUGGGCAAUGAAACCCCAAGACUCUAGAAGGCAUUCGGUUGAUUAAGUAGGCUGCAGUGAGAACAGCUUCACCCCAGAAAAAAUUAGGAACAUGAGAUGAGAACAAAAGACAGCGAGCCACUUCAAGAAGGUGUCUGUUUUUGCGUUCAGCAACCCCAUUUUGUUGCGGGGUGUCAACACAAGAACUGAUGUGAAGAAUGCCUUGAUGGAGAAGAUAUGAGCUGAGGGAGUCUUUGAAAUAUUCCUUGGCAUUGUCGGUUUUAAG